GUGGGGAAUAUUGGGCAAUGGGGGCAACCCUGACCCAGCGACGCCGCGUGAGGGAAGAAGGCCUUAGGGUCGUAAACCUCUGUUGUGUGGGAAGAAGGAAGUGACGGUACCACACGAGGAAGUCCCGGCUAACUACGUGCCAGCAGCCGCGGUAAUACGUAGGGGACGAGCGUUGUCCGGAAUUACUGGGCGUAAAGGGCGCGUAGGCGGUCAUUUAAGUCAGCUGUGAAAUGGUCCGGCUCAACCGGAUCAUGCGGUGGAAACUGGAUGACUGGAGUGCUGGAGAGUCAAGUGGAAUUCCCAGUGUAGCGGUGAAAUGCGUAGAUAUUGGGAAGACCACCGGUGGCGAAGGCGACUUGCUGGCCAGCAACUGACGCUGAGGCGCGAAAGCCAGGGGAGCAAACGGGAUUAGAUACCCCUGUAGUCC
rnacentral:rRNA from 1 species